UGGGGAAUCUUCCGCAAUGGGCGAAAGCCUGACGGAGCAAUGCCGCGUGAGUGAAGACGGCCUUCGGGUUGUAAAACUCUGUGAUUCGGGACGAAAGAUAAGCAGACGAAUAAUCUGCAUAAGUGACGGUACCUAACCAGAAAGCCACGGCUAACUACGUGCCAGCAGCCGCGGUAAUACGUAGGUGGCAAGCGUUGUCCGGAAUUAUUGGGCGUAAAGCGCGCGCAGGUGGUUUAGAAAGUCUGAUGUGAAAGCCCACGGCUCAACCGUGGAGGGUCAUUGGAAACUAAUAAACUUGAGUGCAGGAGAGGAAAGUGGAAUUCCUAGUGUAGCGGUGAAAUGCGUAGAGAUUAGGAGGAACACCGGUGGCGAAAGCGGCUUUUUGGCCUGCAACUGACACUGAGGCGCGAAAGCGUGGGGAGCAAACAGG
rnacentral:rRNA from 1 species